GCCCCGGUGGCUCAGCCUGGUAGUUGCCCUUGCAGCCUAAAGCAUUGCCUUGGUAGACCCGUCAAACAGGCAAGGGUCACGAGUUCAAAUCUCGUCCGGGGCUCCA
rnacentral:tRNA from 2 species